UACGAAGGGGGGCUAGCGUUGCUCGGAAUCACUGGGCGUAAAGGGUGCGUAGGCGGGUCUUUAAGUCAGGGGUGAAAUCCUGGAGCUCAACUCCAGAACUGCCUUUGAUACUGAAGAUCUUGAGUUCGGGAGAGGUGAGUGGAACUGCGAGUGUAGAGGUGAAAAUUCGUAGAUAUUCGCAAGAACACCAGUGGCGAAGGCGGCCUC
rnacentral:rRNA from 1 species